ACCCCACAACAUAACAUGACAUUACAUUACAUUAAAAUGGUAAUGCUAAUUUAUGUAACAAACUUUUUUAGAACUCCCAGAUGAAAACUCAGAAACAUCUAAACAAAGGAAACCAUAAAAAGAGAGAAGAAACCAACAACAAUUUGAAGAGAAAAGGCUUCCACUAGAGGUUUACUGGAUGAUACUCCCAGUUUUCUUCGAACCCUGUUCAAUCCAUCCAUAAGCAAAUAACAUGUCAUAAAUAAUUGGUAAUACACACAAAGCACCCAAUAUUUGUUCGAAUAAAAUGCUUAGUCAACUACAUGUGUCUAACAAAAAAGUGUACAACUGUGAUCUGAUUAUAAAUAGACAAUCAACUUCAUUUAGAUGCAUUAUAGUUGUAAUUCGUGGAUUAUAAAUUGAUCUUGAUUUAUUUUUUCUCUAUUUACCGUGUGCCUCUUAAUUAUAAUUAAAGUACUUUAAUUUUUUUCAAAAAAAAAUAAAAUCAAAACCAAUCAUAAUAUUUUGCUCAUCAUGAUUAAGAGAUAUCAUACUAUGCUAAAAGAUGACAUGGUCUGGUGAAAUUAGCAAUCUAUUUAUAGUUGCAGUUAUUAUCUUUCGACCUUCAGUUCAAUUUAGGUGUUACUUAGUUUAAUUAUAUACGAAAUUUAAAAAAUUAAAUAAUUAAUUUUUAGAAUUUGGCGCAUUAACUUGUUCAAGAGUUACCUGGCAUUGGAGGAUCCACGGUCUCGUCCAAACCAUCUGGCGAACCCACUGGAGAACCCAUUGACAUAGG
rnacentral:lncRNA from 1 species